GCCGAAGUGGUGGAACUGGUAGACACGCCGUCUUGAGGGGGCGGUGGGAGUAAUCCCGUGCGGGUUCGAGUCCCGCCUUCGGCACCA
rnacentral:tRNA from 1 species